rnacentral:rRNA from 1 species
CCUACGGGAGGCAGCAGUGGGGAAUAUUGGACAAUGGGGGGAACCCUGAUCCAGCGACGCCGCGUGAGUGAAGAAGUAUUUCGGUAUGUAAAGCUCUAUCAGCAUGGAAGAAAGAAAUGACGUGACCUGACUAAGCAGCCUCGGCUAACUACGUGCCAGCAGCCGCGGUAAUACGGAGGAGGCAGGCGUUAUCCGGAUUUAUUGGGUGUAAAGGGAGCGUAGGCGGCUAUGCAAGUCUGAAGUGAAAGGCGGGGGCCCAACCGACGUACUGCUUUGGAAACUGUAUGGCUGGAGUGCAGGAGAGGUAGGUGGAAUUCCUAGUGUAGCGGUGAAAUGCGUAGAUAUUAGGAGGAACACCAGUGGCGAAGGCAGCUUACUGGACUGUAACUGACGUUGAGGCUCGAAAGCGUGGGGAGCAAACAGGAUUAGAUACCCCGGUAGUC